rnacentral:lncRNA from 1 species
UCAUCCAUAGUCCACUUGUGUGCUGGUGGUGUAUCAUAUACGCUCACUAUCAUCUCAGCAGUAGACACCUGCCCUCUGUAAAGAGACUCCAAUCUAGCCUCCAUCAUAGACAUAUACAUGUCUCUCAUCUGGAAAGGCUUUGUGUACUAGGCUGGUUCCUCCUACUGGGCUGCUCCUCUCUUGGGGCAUCUCCGAGGCACUGAUCUUGCUGCCUCAUCUCCUCCACAGUACUGCUUGUAGUAUGCUGC